rnacentral:rRNA from 1 species
CCUACGGGUGGCAGCAGUGAGGAAUAUUGGUCAAUGGGCGCGAGCCUGAACCAGCCAAGUAGCGUGAAGGAUGACUGCCCUACGGUUUGUAAACUUCUUUUAUAAAGGAAUAACGUGUGGCACUUGUGCCUUUUUGUAUGUACUUUAUGAAUAAGGAUCGGCUAACUCCGUUCCAGCAGCCGCGGUAAUACUGAGGAUCCGCGCGUUGUCCGGAUUUAUUGGGGUUAAAGGGAGCGUAGAUGGGUUGUUAAGUCAGUUGUGAAAGUUCGCGGCUCAACCGUAGAAUUGCAUUUGAUACUGGCAGUCUUGAGUACAGUUGAGGUAGGCGGAAUUCGUGGUGUAGCGGUGAAAUGCUUAGAUAUCACGAAGAACUCCGAUUGCGAAGGCAGCCUACUGAACUGCAACUGACGUUGAGGCUCGAAAGUGUGGGUAUCAAACAGGAUUAGAUACCCUGGUAGUC